rnacentral:rRNA from 1 species
AUUGAACGCUGGCGGCAUGCCUUACACAUGCAAGUCGAACGGCAGCACGGGAGCAAUCCUGGUGGCGAGUGGCGAACGGGUGAGUAAUAUAUCGGAACGUGCCCAGUCGUGGGGAUAACGUAGCGAAAGCUACGCUAAUACCGCAUACGAUCUAUGGAUGAAAGCGGGGGAUCGCAAGACCUCGCGCGAUUGGAGCGGCCGAUAUCAGAUUAGGUAGUUGGUGAGGUAAAGGACUCACCAAGCCGACGAUCUGUAGCUGGUCUGAGAGGACGACCAGCCACACUGGGACUGAGACACGGCCCAGACUCCUACGGAGGCAGCAGUGGGGAAUUUUGGACAAUGGGCGCAAGCCUGAUCCAGCAAUGCCGCGU